GAGUUUGAUCAUGGCUCAGAUUGAACGCUGGCGGCAGGCCUAACACAUGCAAGUCGAGCGGCAGCACGGGGAGCUUGCUCCCUGGUGGCGAGCGGCGGACGGGUGAGUAAUGCAUGGGAAUCUGCCCGGUAGUGGGGGAUAACCCGGGGAAACCCGGGCUAAUACCGCAUACGUCCCACGGGAGAAAGCAGGGGAUCUUCGGACCUUGCGCUAUCGGAUGAGCCCAUGUCGGAUUAGCUUGCUGGUGAGGUAACGGCUCACCAGGGCGACGAUCCGUAGCUGGUCUGAGAGGAUGAUCAGCCACACCGGGACUGAGACACGGCCCGGACUCCUACGGGAGGCAGCAGUGGGGAAUAUUGGACAAUGGGGGAAACCCUGAUCCAGCCAUGCCGCGUGUGUGAAGAAGGCUUUCGGGUUGUAAAGCACUUUCAGCGGGGAAGAAGGCAUGGCGGCUAAUACCCGCCAUGAAGGACAUCACCCGCAGAAGAAGCACCGGCUAACUCCGUGCCAGCAGCCGCGGUAAUACGGAGGGUGCAAGCGUUAAUCGGAAUUACUGGGCGUAAAGGGCGCGUAGGCGGCCUGCCAAGCCGGAUGUGAAAGCCCCGGGCUCAACCCGGGAACGGCAUUCGGAACUGGCAGGCUAGAGUGCAGGAGAGGAAGGUGGAAUUCCCGGUGUAGCGGUGAAAUGCGUAGAGAUCGGGAGGAAUACCAGUGGCGAAGGCGGCCUUCUGGACUGACACUGACGCUGAGGCGUGAAAGCGUGGGUAGCAAACAGGAUUAGAUACCCUGGUAGUCCACGCCGUANACGAUGUCGACCAGCCGUUGGACCCCUUGAGGGUCUGGUGGCGCAGUUAACGCAAUAAGUCGACCGCCUGGGGAGUACGGCCG
rnacentral:rRNA from 1 species